CUUAUGUCCCCAUAAAUCCUUGCCUGUGCCUCUGAUUUAUGGGUCUGGCCUCGUUUCUACCCUUGUCAGGUCCAAGAACCCGGCUCUGGUAACAAAACGAGGGGCUGAGAGCCUGAUGAUGCUCCACCUGGGGAAGAGAAAGCACGGGAUUGCUUCCUGACUUUGUUCAGAUCCCUGCUCAGACGUAAGCUCUGAGUGUAGAGAAGCCAAGAGGAGCCCAAAGCUUCAGGAAAACACUAACCCUCCCAGAAGCCUAGUAGAAGCCUUGUUUCCAGGGACAGUUGGCCAAGACAUAACAAGCUGGGGGCCAGGAGCACGCUCUGAAAGGUCAGUGACGUCCAGACUGCCCUUUGCCUGGGGCCUCGGCUGGGGACCUCACUCCCUGCAGUUCUCCUGCUGGACAGCCAGGAUGGGUGGGGAGGCCCUCAAAUCUCAUUCCCCCCUCCCGGUUCUGUGGUGAGGGUUCCUGCCACACUCCUAGAGCCUGAAGAGAGAGGGGAGAAAGAAAAGAAAGACAAGCCAGGGUCAUGCUUCUGCAAAGAAGC
rnacentral:lncRNA from 12 species